rnacentral:rRNA from 1 species
CAAUAGCGUAUAUUAAAGUUGUUGCAGUUAGAACGCUCGUAGUCGGAUUUCGGGGCGGGCCGACCGGUCUGCCGAUGGGUAUGCACUGGUCGGCGCGUCCUUCCUUCCGGAGACCGUCCCUACUCUUAACUGAGCGGAGGCGGGAGACGGGACUUUUACUUUGAAAAAAUCAGAGUGUUUCAAGCAGGCAGCUCGCUCUUGCAUGGAUUAGCAUGGGAUAAUGAAAUAGGACUUUGGUGCUAUUUUGUUGGUUUCGAACACCGAAGUAAUGAUGAGAAGGGACAGUCAGGGGCACUCGUAUUCCGCCGAGAGAGGUGAAAUUCUCAGACCAGCGGAAGACGAACCACUGCGAAAGCAUUUGCCAGGGAUGUUUUCACUGA